rnacentral:tRNA from 1 species
AAAAAGGUAAGCUAAUACAAGCUAAUGGACUCAUACCUCAUUUAUAAAGGCUUCACCCCUUUCCUUUUUA